rnacentral:rRNA from 1 species
GACGAACGCUGGCGGCGUGCCUAAUACAUGCAAGUAGAACGCAGUUGCGAACGGGUGAGUAACGCGUAGGGAACUGCCUGGUAGCGGGGGAUAACUAUUGGAAACGAUAGCUAAUACAGCAUACUACCAGAUGGACCUGCGUUGUAUUAGCUAGUUGGUGGGGUAACGGCUCAACAAGGCAACGAUACAUAGCCGACCUGAGAGGGUGAUCGGCCAACAUGGGGAUGGGACAAGGCCCAGAAUCCUACGGGAGGCAGCAGUAGGGAAUUAUCGGCAAUGGACGGAAGGCUGACCGAGCAAAGGCGCGUGAGGGAAGAAGGUUUUCGGAUCGUAAAGCUCUGUUGUAAGAGAAGCGGUAUCUUACCAGAAAGGGACGGCUAACUACGUGCCAGCCGCCGCGGUAAUUC